GAUGAAGAACGCAGCGAAAUGCGAUAAGUAAUGUGAAUUGCAGAAUUCAGUGAAUCAUCGAAUCUUUGAACGCACAUUGCGCCCAUUAGUAUUCUAGUGGGCAUGCCUGUUCGAGCGUCAUUAAGUCCACUUAAGCUCUGCUUAGUGUUGGGAACCUACAUCUCGGUUUACUACUCGUAGUUACCCUGUAGUUCCUUAAAGACAUCGGCGGAGUUGCAAUAUCUCUGAGCUUAGUAAUUUCUCCAAGCUUCUGGGCCGUUGUAACCCCCGCCGUAAAACCUUUUACUUCGGUAAUAUUUUAAUGGUUGACCUCGGAUCAGGUAGGAAUACCCGCUGAACUUAAGCAUAUCAAUAAGCGGAGGA
rnacentral:misc_RNA from 1 species